AAGACUAGAGCAAACGAAGAACAACAUCUUUGAAAGAAUGGCUUCCAUCAACUUUGUAGGUCUAGCAAGACUCCUUGUCGUGGGACUUUUCUGCACUGCUUUGAUUCUUCUGAUGAGUUCAGGUAUUUUAUCCUUUGUUUGAAUUGUGUUCUUGCCAUAAUAAAUAUGUUCUAGUGAUGGCAUAUAAAUAAACUUUGCAAUACAAAUUCUACAUGUACCACAUUUACUUAUCACAUAAUAGUAAUGCUGUGUAAAUAAUAUAUAUUUCGUAUUUGCAGGAUAUGAGUCUGCACAAUUAUAUCCACACUAUUCUAUAUGGGGACCAUGCGCAACCUAUAAAGAUUGCAAUGCGAUGUGCAUCAAUACUGUAGGCCGAAAACAGGGUGGAUUUUGUGGCAUUGAUCCUUCAGAUAAGCACUGCGAUUGUAUAUGCAGAGAUGACGGACCGCCGACAGAGAUCCCACUACCAGCACCUUGUAAACCCUAAUGUCUAUAUAAAACUCACAACUUUUUGUUGAGUUAUUCUAAAUAAAACUCACGACUUUCUGUUGAGUUAGCUUCAAUAAAAUAUUCGCAAUUGAUUGUCG
rnacentral:lncRNA from 1 species